CCUGGGUGGUCCCUCCAGCCCAAGAUGCUGGGGAAGCAAGAGGGGUCUGGGGCGGCUGUUAGAGAUAAAGCCGACUCAUAAAAGGUGCAGGGGCUUCCUGCUUGACAAACACAGUGUGCUAACUAAUCAGUGUACUCUGCACUCAGCAGGAAGCCCGUGAUGGAUUGAGGAGAUGCUCAGAGGUCAAGGUUCAGGGACAACACUAAUACUCCCUUGGAGCAGUUGGGGUAAGGGCAGAGGAAGGAGUCCUAGGCUGGUUGGCCUCAGAGGCUUUCUUAUCUCUUGAAAAUCUGGAAGCCAGGCAAAGGGUGCAAUGAGGGUCAGCUGGUAUCAGGGGCAUGAUGCCACCCCUGGGGGGGGGGAGAAAAGGUUAUGGGGGGUCAACGACUGCAGGUAGAAGCCUUGUCUACAGAGCUGCCUUUGGGGUGAUCUUGGAUACUAUGAAUUAUAUUUGAGACCCUCCAUGGUCUUUCAGAUUAGUUCCAUAUAGCCAGCUGGUCUCUGGCGGGUCCAAGUGAUGGGCAGAUCAGUGUCUAACACUCGAAUGGGCUGGAGAGUAUGCAUGUGAGCAGGUGUGUGUGUGUGCAUGUGUUAGUGUGUGUUGUGCAGGUGUAUACAGGUGUGCGCACGCAGGUGUGUGUAGAUGUGUGUGCAGGUGUGUGUGCGCAGGUGUGUGUGUGCAGGUGUGUGUACAGGUGUAUACAAGUGUGUGUGUGUGUGCUCAGGUGUGUGUGCAGGUGUGUGUGCAUGUGUUGGUGUGUGUGUGCGCAGGUGUGUGCGCAGGUGUGUGUGUGCGUUCGUGUAUGGGGGAUACCUUAAAAUCCCAGUGAUGCUGCUUCUGCAGUGUCCCCUGGACCCCUUCCUAGCUGGUGCUAAUAUGGGCGGCUGAUCAAGGCUUUUCCUCUGGUGGCAGCUACUCUGAGAAGUAGCAGCGCGCUCUCUCCAGGCAAUCAAGACACAUUGUGUUGGGCACUGGGCGCUGGUCUUGGAACAUUCUUGGUUGUAGGCAAGCAGGGGAGGGCAGGCCUCCUGUUGAAGUGUGAGAUUUAUUGGACCCCCCGCUGCGUGACUGAGAGGCUCUAACUCUUCCAGGGAAGCCCCCUGUGGUCGGGGCUCAGCACUUAUUAUCCAUAAUGAAGUGCUUGUAUCUGAUGCCCCACACCAUGCGGCUUCCUGGUUCCACUGCCAUCCGCGGCGCCCACUUGGUGCCUGGCCUGAAGUCAGUGCGGAGAAAUGUUUGUCCUGGAGGGCCUGAGCUGCCUCAGGGCUGGGGACAGAGUGGGUGUUCUUUUCAGCGUCCCCUCCAGAGCAUCGGGUGGCCCAUUUUUAGGUCUCAAGGUCAUUGCCAAGAAAGAGAAGCUGUUAAAUUGACACUUUUCUGCACCCACAUGACUCAACAAAAAGGUUAACAGAAGCUCUUAAAAUACAAUCCUCUCAAAUGUCUGUUCUCUGUGUCCUCUGAGGAAGUGACAGACAGUGGCAUCAGAUAGGGGUUGGGGCUGUGUGACCUGCUGGUCCUUGGGUAUCACUGUGCCCCAGAGGUCAUUUAAGCGCUCUGUUCUCAGCAGACAGGACGGAGGAGGAGUAUACAGAAGGUACUGGUAAACACUGCACACAGGGGACCUGAGAGCUGGGGACAUUGAAAGGGACACUGUAAGACUAACCACAGUGGGUCCAUGAAGAGAAAGGCAGAGUCAGGUGAGAGAACUAGCCUGGUGCCUCGGCAGACACCUGAGCUCAGGUAUCAACUAGAGGAAGCAGGUGACGCCCAGAGGGUGCUGAAAGCCGGGGUGCCCGUGGAAAGAGCUGGGUAGUGGAGGCGCAUCCCCUUGGCUCGGGCUGGGGGAGCCGGGUCUUCCCGGCCACAGGCUCAGCUCCCCACCGUGUGGAUGCAGUUCUGAUGGCUGAGACAGCAUGGCGGGUGUUAGGAGCUGGCUGGGCACUCCCGGCCCACAGGUUACUGUGCCUCUUGGCCUAUGUUGUGUCGUCUGUACCAGGGAAGUCCUCUCUCCUCCCAAACUACCUGGGAGACUUAGAUAAGAAAGCAUAUGUGAAGUGCUUAGAGCAGCUCAUGGCACACGGGAAAACUGAACAUGCUCUCCAUAGUGGGGACAGUGAUCAUUUGACUUCCUGCAAGCAUCAUCUAGUCAGCUGAACACAGGGUUGGCAAAUCUGGCUCACUGCCUAUUUUUAUAAAUAAAGUUUUAUUGGAACAUAGCCAUGCUUAUUCAUUUACCCAUCAUCCUCCAUGGCAGAGCUGAGCAGAGGCAACAGAGACCCUACGGUGACAAAGCAAAAUGGCCUCUUAUUAGAAAACGGGCUUUUGUUAUUUGUCCCUUUAUAGAAAAAGUGCCAUCCCCAUCUUCACAGAUGACUAGAAAACCAGCAGUUUCAUAGAAUUUGCUGAAAAAGACGAUACAUUGGAGCAGUUAAGGGGAAGAAGUCUGGAUGCUGAUCCCUGCUCUGUGACCUUAGGCAAGUUACCUACCUACUCUGGACUUGUCAUUCCAUAGGCAAAACUGCAGUGAUACAUGUAGUAUUAAGUGGGAUCCUGUCAGCACAGGGUCUGAUGCUGGCAAAAGCAAUAUAAAAAGUAGCUACUAUUGUUAGUUAUUAAGUGUCAACUGCCAGAAGGCACAGAGAAACUCCCAGAAGAGGGUCAUCGCUGC
rnacentral:lncRNA from 1 species